rnacentral:rRNA from 1 species
UACGUAGGUGGCAAGCGUUGUCCGGAAUUAUUGGGCGUAAAGCGCGCGCAGGCGGUUCCUUAAGUCUGAUGUGAAAGCCCACGGCUCAACCGUGGAGGGUCAUUGGAAACUGGGGAACUUGAGUGCAGGAGAGAAGAGUAGAAUUCCACGUGUAGCGGUGAAAUGCGUAGAGAUGUGGAGGAACACCAGUGGCGAAGGCGACUCUUUGGCCUGUAACUGACGCUGAGGCGCGAAAGCGUGGGGAGCAAACAGG